CCCUAGCCCUGAUGGGAACGACAUCCUUUUUUGACAUUGCGGGGAAAAGUUCUACAGAUUGCUUCACUUCGUUUGCAAUGACAAAAAAGAUAUAGUGGACAGCAGGUUCCCGG
rnacentral:sRNA from 1 species